UGUUGACGUUAUAGUUGCGCAGGAACUUUGUUGACUCUAGAGAACCUUGGGCAAAUCGCACAUCCCCACGGCGGCGACUUUGCAUGCGGAUGGCAUCCAUAUCAACUUUCGAUGCCAGUUUCUGCACCUACCAUGGUUACCACGGUAACUGGGAAUCAGGGUUCCAUUCCGUACAGGGACCCUGAGAAACGGCUACCACAUGCAAAGAAGGCAGCAAGCGCCCAAAUGACCUACUCCCGACGCGGGAAGGUAGUGACGACA